rnacentral:lncRNA from 1 species
CGCGAACCACUUAACCAUACCGUCUUCAUUCUCCCUCGAUUCCCCUACCGAAAAAACCCAAACAGCAAACCAACAGUACCGAAGCCAAUCGAAUAAGAAACGAAAAGUGAAGAAGGAGAUGAGUUCACCUUCAUCGGAGCUAAAGAGGAUGUAGGGAUCCCAACCGCGAAUAACCUCCUCGUCCAAGAACCAUCAUCACCUGAACCGCAACCCAUUAGAGUGGAGAAGAAGAGAAGCCCGAACCACCGCGAACCACCGCCUUGUAGUGACAUUACCGACGAAUCACAGUCGCCACCGCAGGAGACGGAACCAAAGAAGGGAAGAGAGGGGACACGACUUAAUAACCGUGUGGUAGGGAAAUACUCCGCUCCUUGUCGCUGCCACCGUCUCACCAUCCUUCGCCGUUGCCGUCGUUGAGAGAGGAGAGGGAAUUGGGUAUUAGGGAUUUCAAUUCCCUUCCAAUUUGGGUUUCUGCGUGAAACCACAAAGGGGAUCCC